UUGUAAUCAUGUUUUUAAUAUGGAUUUUUUUAACGGCAUUGAAAAAAGUUGGAUAUGCAUACUGUAUUGCUUUGUGAAGUGACAGUCCCUGAUCUAUUUCCCUUAACUAUAGACAUGGAUUUUGUCUCUAAUUCAUAUAUAUGAUCCUCAUUAUUUUUCUAGGAGAACUUUUUAUGAACAGUUUCCCAUAAAUCUUUGAUUGUAGCCAAGAAGAAAAAAUAACGACUAAUCUGGGGAAUCAUAGUUCUCCAGAUCCAAAAUUUUUUAUGUGUGCAUCCUCCUCUCUCCAGCAACGGAAUUCACGAGAUGAGGAAUUUAGUUUGUCAUCCAACAGGUGAUAUAGCAUUCACCUCCUAGUCAAAACCUCUUGAAGAUACUCUGACCAUUGGAUCAAUUUGUAUUUAGUUAAUUUGAGCUCAGUAGGCAUGUCGGUAGGCAUUUUCAAACAUGCAUAUUUGACAAUGGGAUAUAUGAUUUAACAAUUUAUUUGACUUUUGAGGAGUGAAAUGUAUCCUCUCAUUUAACAGUCUACUUAACAAAUAUGGAUUAAGUAUAUUUGAUUAGAUGAGGAAGGUAAGUGUUAGAAAAUAUUUUUAAACUGAUACCCAACAAUGGAUCUAUAGAUGGACAAGGUGUAGAAGAGGCAGAUCUAGAAGAGAUGAGGAUUCACAACACAAGGGGUAAUAAUAUACGAAAAUAGAGAAAAAAUCUUUCCACUACACCUCAAGAGGAGGACGAAUAGUGGAGAGGAACAUAUAUUCUUCUCUAAUGGAAUGGGGAAGAUAUAAGGAUAGACUUAUAAGGAUAGAAACAGCGGAAGAUAAGGAGAGGAACCUCCUUUCAAGGGGAGAAUAAAGAGUACAGCGAACUGUCAGGCUAUAGUCAACCUAGGUCACGACCUCCCUCAAACUCACUAAACCUUAAAAUAGACUGUCCCUUAUAUAGGGACUGUCUCAUACACAUAAAAGAUGAAAGUACCACCCAUUAUAUAUUUUGAUGUUCCUAUCAGUAAGUUUCAGAAAAAAUCUUCUGUAUGGUUUCUUUCCAAUCUGUGCUAUAUUUAUACUAGAGAAAUUAAGUGAAUAAUGCAUACUACCUCAAGGAUUGCUAGUGUCUUACUCUAUUGACAUAUUUUAGUCAAAGCGUCAAGUGACGUGGAGAAUGUGAUGAACAUUUUUUUUGUGUGUUUGUUGGCUUCCUCAG
rnacentral:lncRNA from 1 species